AGGAGUGGGAGGGUAGGAGAAGGCUCUGUGGUGAGGUCUCAGUCAUAAUCUCAUCAGUCUUCCCUAUUCCUCCCAUUCCU
rnacentral:pre_miRNA from 1 species